rnacentral:rRNA from 1 species
AAUGGGCGGAAGCCUGAUCCAGCAACGCCGCGUGAGGGAUGACGGCCUUCGGGUUGUAAACCUCUUUCAGUACCGACGAAGCGCCGAUGAUGGUGGUGACGGUAGGUACAGAAGAAGCACCGGCCAACUACGUGCCAGCAGCCGCGGUAAUACGUAGGGUGCGAGCGUUGUCCGGAAUUAUUGGGCGUAAAGGGCUCGUAGGCGGUUUGUCGCGUCGGGAGUGAAAACACUGGGCUUAACUCAGUGCUUGCUUCCGAUACGGGCAGACUAGAGGCAUGCAGGGGAGAACGGAAUUCCUGGUGUAGCGGUGAAAUGCGCAGAUAUCAGGAGGAACACCGGUGGCGAAGGCGGUUCUCUGGGCAUGUCCUGACGCUGAGGAGCGAAAGUGUGGGGAGCGAA